UGAGAAAUUAAAAGGGGCCCUGAUGGA
rnacentral:piRNA from 1 species